rnacentral:rRNA from 1 species
UACGAAGGUCCCGAGCGUUAUCCGGAUUUAUUGGGCUUAAAGGGUGCGUAGGCGGGUUAUUAAGUCAGUGGUGAAAGCCUACAGCUUAACUGUAGAAUUGCCAUUGAUACUGAUGAUCUUGAGUAUGAUUGAGGUGGGCGGAAUGUGUCAUGUAGCGGUGAAAUGCUUAGAUAUGACACAGAACACCGAUUGCGAAGGCAGCUCACUAAGUCAUAACUGACGCUGAUGCACGAAAGCGUGGGGAGCAAACAGG